rnacentral:rRNA from 1 species
UUAAUUGAAGAGUUUGAUCAUGGCUCAGAUUGAACGCUGGCGGCAGGCCUAACACAUGCAAGUCGAGCGGCAGCACAGAGGAACUUGUUCCUUGGGUGGCGAGCGGCGGACGGGUGAGUAAUGCCUAGGAAAUUGCCCUGAUGUGGGGGAUAACCAUUGGAAACGAUGGCUAAUACCGCAUGAUGCCUACGGGCCAAAGAGGGGGACCUUCGGGCCUCUCGCGUCAGGAUAUGCCUAGGUGGGAUUAGCUAGUUGGUGAGGUAAUGGCUCACCAAGGCGACGAUCCCUAGCUGGUCUGAGAGGAUGAUCAGCCACACUGGAACUGAGACACGGUCCAGACUCCUACGGGAGGCAGCAGUGGGGAAUAUUGCACAAUGGGCGCAAGCCUGAUGCAGCCAUGCCGCGUGUAUGAAGAAGGCCUUCGGGUUGUAAAGUACUUUCAGUCGUGAGGAAGGUGGUGUUGUUAAUAGCAGCAUCAUUUGACGUUAGCGACAGAAGAAGCACCGGCUAACUCCGUGCCAGCAGCCGCGGUAAUACGGAGGGUGCGAGCGUUAAUCGGAAUUACUGGGCGUAAAGCGCAUGCAGGUGGUGGAUUAAGUCAGAUGUGAAAGCCCGGGGCUCAACCUCGGAACCGCAUUUGAAACUGGUUCACUAGAGUACUGUAGAGGGGGGUAGAAUUUCAGGUGUAGCGGUGAAAUGCGUAGAGAUCUGAAGGAAUACCGGUGGCGAAGGCGGCCCCCUGGACAGAUACUGACACUCAGAUGCGAAAGCGUGGGGAGCAAACAGGAUUAGAUACCCUGUUAGUCCACGCCGUAAACGAUGUCUACUUGGAGGUUGUGGCCUUGAGCCGUGGCUUUCGGAGCUAACGCGUUAAGUAGACCGCCUGGGGAGUACGGUCGCAAGAUUAAAACUCAAAUGAAUUGACGGGGGCCCGCACAAGCGGUGGAGCAUGUGGUUUAAUUCGAUGCAACGCGAAGAACCUUACCUACUCUUGACAUC